rnacentral:rRNA from 1 species
GACGAACGCUGGCGGCGUGCUUAACACAUGCAAGUCGAACGGUGAAGCGCCUUCCUUUUUGGUGGGUGUGGAUGAGUGGCGAACGGGUGAGUAACACGUGAGUAACCUGCCCCCUUCUUCUGGAUAACCGCAUGAAAGUGUGGCUAAUACGGGAUAUUCUGGGUCUGUCGCAUGAUGGGUCUGGGAAAGAUAUUGUUUCGGUGGGGGAUGGGCUCGCGGCCUAUCAGCUUGUUGGUGGGGUGAUGGCCUACCAAGGCGGUGACGGGUAGCCGGCCUGAGAGGGUGGGCGGUCACACUGGGACUGAGACACGGCACAGACUCCUACGGGAGGGAGCAGGGGGGAAUAUUGCACAAUGGGCGCAAGCCUGAUGCAGCGACGCCGCGUGAGGGAUGGGGGCCUUCGGGUUGUGAACCUCUUUCGCCAGUGAAGCAGGCCUGCCUCGUUUGUGGGUGGGUUGACGGUAGCUGGAUAAGAAGCGCCGGCUAACUACGUG